rnacentral:rRNA from 1 species
AGAUUUGAUCCUGGCUCAGGAUGAACGCUAGCGGCAGGCCUAAUACAUGCAAGUCGGACGGGAUUGAGGAGCUUGCUUCUCAUGAGAGUGGCGCACGGGUGCGUAACACGUAUGUAACCUACCUUGUUCAGGGGGAUAGCCUCUCGAAAGAGAGAUUAAGACCGCAUAAAAUCACAUUGCAGCAUUGCAAAAUGAUCAAAUAUUUAUAGGAACAAGAUGGGCAUGCGGAACAUUAGCUAGUUGGUAAGGUAACGGCUUACCAAGGCUACGAUGUUUAGGGGAUCUGAGAGGAUGACCCCCCACACUGGUACUGAGACACGGACCAGACUCCUACGGGAGGCAGCAGUAAGGAAUAUUGGUCAAUGGGCGGAAGCCUGAACCAGCCAUGCCGCGGGAGGGAAAGACGGCCCUACGGGUUGUAAACUGCUUUUAUACGGGAAUAAACCUGAUUACGUGUGAUCAGCUGAAUGUACUGUAAGAAUAAGGAUCGGCUAACUCCGUGCCAGCAGCCGCGGUAAUACGGAGGAUCCAAGCGUUAUCCGGAUUUAUUGGGUUUAAAGGGUGCGUAGGUGGCCUGUUAAGUCAGGGGUGAAAGACGGUAGCUCAACUAUCGCAGUGCCCUUGAUACUGAUGGGCUUGAAUGAACUAGAGGUAGGCGGAAUGUGACAAGUAACGGUGAAAUGCAUAGAUAUGUCACAGAACACCAAUUGCGAAGGCAGCUCACUAUGGUUUUAUUGACACUGAGGCACGAAAGCGUGGGGAUCAACAGGAUAGAUACCCUGGUAGUCCUCGCCCUUAAACGAUGAAUAUUCGAUGUGGCGAUAUACGUCAGCGCUAAGCGAAGCUUUAAG